ACCCUGAGAUGUGAAACUGUUCGUGAAAAAUCAGCCAAGAAAAUCCAACAGCGCGCUUUAAUCAACCAAGGAAAUUCAUUAAAAUCUGAUUCGAGUUUUGGAGUUCGAAUAUUCCUUUAUUCAUGAACUGAUUUCGCUUCAAGGGUUUCCGAAUUCGGUCAGGGUUAGGGUUGGGGCUUCAGUAGAGAUGGAUGUCGAGUGAAUCGCAGAGAAGAUUUGCAGCUCUUUGGGGGAACUGGUGAUUUUGGAAGACUUGGAUUCUCAAUGGAAGCCAGCCGUCUGCUCUGCUUUUGAGAAGGAGAGGCUCUAUUUUCUUAACAGGUUGGAAAUCCUUAUCACUUAAUAAGGGAGCUCAUCCGAGGCACCAAAUCUAUUGUUGAAGCAGGAAAUUUAUGAUCUUUUGUAGAUUUUGGUGGACCUUGGCGCAACAGUAAAGUUGUUCCAUUGCUAUUUGGUAGUAGCUAGUUCAAGUUGGAAACAACCUCUAUGCGAAGUGGGGCUAAAGCUGCAUACAUUAUGACACUCCCCAUAGUGGUGGGAGCUUUGUGCACUAGGUUAUCCAAUUAUUUGGAAAAGGAUUUGUUCUGAAAUGUUAUAGAACGUCGAGUUGUCUUUCCAACACGUUUAGUCACCUCGAUCACACUCCAAUGAGGGAGGAAUUAUAUGAAAAAGAUCCUCCCCAGAGUGUUGGGCACUCAACUGUGGCAUGAGACGGCUUGGAAGACCUUGGGGCCUGUGCCAUGUGUUGUGUUGCAUGUAAUUAUUAUACUUUUCUUUUGUUUGAAUCAUUUCAAUGGAAGUACUGGAAGAGGUCACAUGAAGUAGAAAGAGGGAAUGGGACAUAGAGAGGCCUGGCCACGAGGAUCUUCAAAUCCAUCUUCAAAUGCCUCUUGGAGUUGGAAGUCUAUUAUUGGAGCAAGAGGUUUACUUUUGAAGAAUCUGUUCAUCUAGGUGUAGUUUGGGACACAAUGUGGUCCGAAUGCCCUUACCCUCUCCCUCGUAAGGGCAUUGUUUCUAGUUUGGAAUUGGUGUUGCUCAUCAGGAGUUGCUGAAUCACUAGCUGUCCUUUAUGCUCUUAUUAUGGCUUUGUGUUUGGUGGUUCCAAAUGUAUGGAUUGAGAGCGAUAAUCUUAUGAUCAAUAAUAUUUUGAAUCAUUGCUCUUC